AGGGAAGCAGGCCGUGCUGGGAAGCGUCACAAACGACCUGAGCGAUUCACGGAUCCCCUUCUGCGGACUCGGCCCUUGCGCUUUGCCCCGGAAGGAGCACCUCCCCUGAGAUCUCGGCGCGCUCACGGGGCCACUUCAGCGCCUCUGGGCCCUCGUGUGCCGUGCGCUCCCGGCGAACGGCAGGGACGGGGACAGGCCGACUCCCACGGCCUGUGUCCUCAGUGGGACAAAAGAUACGUAUAUUAAGGCUGACCUGGGUCGAACAAGGAGAAACCCAACUUCCUUUGAUCCACAGGACGCUCACCGCUGGAUGGACCUCUGCCUGCAGGCUCUCGUGGGACGCAUACAUGUCACUAGAGGGAACAGUCCUUGGCAUCACUGCGGCUCUACGAGACCAGCCAUUUUUAAAGGAACCAGGCUACGGCCCUCACUCGGUCUGAGCCAAGCUUCCUCCUGCAUGGUGAAGGGCGUGGAUGGCACCCCCAGCCAAGCACGCCCAAUGUGUGUCCACACCCCAGCAAACACCCACCUCUUUGCCCCCUUGCUGGGCUGGGACUGUGUGGUCUCUCCAUGGAUGGAUGAAUCCCCGAGGACACGGCAUUCAUGGCUCUGGACACGGACGCAGGGCCAUCUGGGCACGACAUCUCCAGGGCCCAGGACCUGCAGCAUGGGUCCAGAAGAGGGACGCUUCUCCUUCGUCUCACAGACCCCUUGCCCUAUGGGGAGGGGCACGGCCAGGACAGCGCCCCACUUGCCCCAGUGUGAAGAAGGUCAUGGGCUGACCAAAGAGCAGUUCAACUUCAAGGAUGGAGUCUUCUGGAGAGCAAGGGUUAGGGGUUUUUUCAGGCUGGAAGAAGGAACACUUGCGGGAAUGGGAACCCAGGAUUGUAAUGGUGACAGGGAACAUAGAUAGCUUGUCAGUUACAUGCAUUUUUCUGUGUUGGACCAAGACACAGGCUGGCUGAAUCCGUUACAAAACAAGAGCAUUUUCCCCCGAGCUUUUACUCGGGAGUUGAAACCACCAACUCCUAUGUGAUAUUUUCCAGAUUAACGGAAGUGAUCGCUGGAGGUCACGCAACUAAUGAAGAUCAAGUCACAAUCAAGUCAGGUUCGUGGGAUCAAACUCCGUAUCAGGCUCUGCGCUAAGCGUGAAGACUGCUUAAGAUUCUCUCUCUCUCCCUCUGCCCCUCUCACCUGUGCUCUCUCUCUCUCUCUCAAAAAAUUAAAAAAUAAAUUAAAAUUUAAAAAGUAAUAAAAAGAUUAAAUUUACUAAGUGUCUAAACUUAAAGGAAAAUAUCAGACCAAUUCACGAAAGACGAUCCAUUUACAAGAAAAAUGAAGACUUCCAAUCGCUUCCUUUAGUCCUGUGCAGGCAGUACAUACAUCUUGUUUUCCCCAACAGUAGGAUUCGGGAUUACAAUCCGGUUUUCCUAUUUUGACUAAUUCAGAGCUCUUUUGAGAGGGUUGAUUUGAUCAAAGCAAUGGGAAGUAUUUUAACUCUUACAAGUUCUUGAACUCUAAAAUAGAUGGUACUCAUGACGUCACAACACUGACAUGGGCCGUGUGGAAGGUCACAUCUAAAUCAAAAGGAAGAACACACCUGAGUACAGUGGGAGAGUUAAUCACCACAAUGCUAGAUGCCAUACAGCAGUUUCAUGGGAUGGGGUCAGAUCCGGAUGAGUAUCCAGCAAGGGAGAGGUACCGGUGUGGCAGUCAUUGGUUUUGCUACACUAACUGCUAAGUGUUUAUUGAGCACCUAACUAUGUGAAAGACCCCAUGCCAGGUCCAAAGACCUAUAAAAUGGGUCCCUUGCAAGCUGCUUAUGCUAUGGUUUCCCUCAGUGCUUAGGGUUUGGAAAGCACCUAGGAGUAGACAAGUAAUCAAAAGUGAUUUGUAAAGUAGCCUGGCAAGUGCUAAGCACCCAGUACUUGGAAUAGAAGAUGGAGGCUAGGCAGGUGGCUCUUACUUCUAAAUUCCAAUUUCUCUUGCUGUAGCGUUUAAACUUCUGUGGGGAACAGGAAAAGGUGACUAAAUGGAAGUCUGUAUUUACCUCUAUAUUGGCCUUCCAGAAACGUGUUUAUUGGGAUUCUAUAUAGCCAUUUAAAUAUGUUAGAUUCUAAAUAUGCUGAACGGAGUUAAAUGUGCUUUUUUGGAAAGUUGUCUAAGGGAUGCAAAGGUAAAAAACAAGUUCUGGAAAUUAUGUAGUGGGAUAUAGGUGCCCCUGUAUAUAUAUAUAUGCAUAGAAACUUUCUGAAAGAAAAUUAAGAUUCAUUCACAGUGUUCCCAGGAUGCAGAAAUGGCAGGUCAGGUGGUAAAAGAGGUCAGAGUAGCAACUAGUGCUUUUCAUUUUCCAUUCUUUUGUGCUCUCUGAAGCAAUGUUUCCAUAAGACAGAAUUUCUGGAAUACAGAUUUCCAAAAAUAAAAAAUAAUGCACAUUUAUAACCUCAUCUACCAAGAGAUAACGUUUGUGAAAACCUUGGUGUGUGUCUUUCCAGACUUUCAAUCUUCCACAUAUUUCUUCGUUUUAACAAAGAAUCAUACUUUCUUUAUUUUUAAGAUUCAUACUUUAAUGUUGUCUUGCGAUCUGAAUGUUUUCAUUUAAUAAUUUACUGAGAAUAUUUUUCCUGUGAAUACACCUUCAUUUAGGGCACUGUUCUUCAAAGACUGGAUGGUAUUCCAGUGUAUUUGUUAUACCAUCAUGUACUGAAUCAAUCCUCCUUAUGUUGGAUAUCUAGGUUGCUUCUAAUUAUUCUCUUUCUCCCUUACGAACAAUGUAUUGAUUCACCUGAUAACUAAAUCUUUGUGCGCAUGUCUUA